AGACAUUUGAUUUUCAAUGUCAUUGUUUAAUAAAAUAUGCAUAAGUCAUCACAAAGUAUUGCUUUAUUUCUUCUCAGAUGCCUCUUAUUUUCUAAAGCUGCAAGUUAAAAGAAACCUUCCAUAUGUUUUUAGGGUUAUAGAGUUGAACCGAUGGGCCUCAAGUGAAAGGAAGAUCACGAAAGUUGUGCCUAGAAAAGGGCAUUCUGAUCUGCGGUCAGGUAAAGUAGCUUCUGUUGUAACUGUUUUUGUUAUAUUAAUCAUACUUCGAAUACUACACUCUUCCCAUUCACUUGAAUAA
rnacentral:lncRNA from 10 species